rnacentral:rRNA from 1 species
GUGGGGAAUAUUGGGCAAUGGGGGAAACCCUGACCCAGCAACGCCGCGUGAAGGAAGAAGGUUUUCGGAUCGUAAACUUCUAUCCUUGGUGAAGAUAAUGACGGUAGCCAAGAAGGAAGCCCCGGCUAACUACGUGCCAGCAGCCGCGGUAAUACGUAGGGGGCAAGCGUUGUCCGGAAUGAUUGGGCGUAAAGGGCGCGUAGGCGGCCUGGUAAGUCUGGAGUGAAAGUCCUGCUUUUAAGGUGGGAAUUGCUUUGGAUACUGUCGGGCUUGAGUGCAGGAGAGGUAAGCGGAAUUCCCGGUGUAGCGGUGAAAUGCGUAGAGAUCGGGAGGAACACCAGUGGCGAAGGCGGCUCUCUGGUCUGUAACUGACGCUGAGGUUCGAAAGCGUGGGUAGCAAACAGGAUUAGAAACCCCAGUAGUCC